rnacentral:rRNA from 1 species
UACAUGGGGUGCAAACGUUGCCCGGAAUCAUUGGGCGUAAAGCGCGCGUAGGCGGUUGCUUAAGUCGGAUGUGAAAGCCCUCGGCUUAACUGAGGAAGUGCAUCCGAAACUGAGCAGCUAGAGUACGAAAGAGGGUCGCGGAAUUCCCGGUGUAGAGGUGAAAUUCGUAGAUAUCGGGAGGAACACCGGUGGCGAAGGCGGCUCACUGGCCCGGUACUGACGCUGAGGUGCGAAAGCGUGGGGAGCAAACAGG